rnacentral:tRNA from 1 species
GGAAUAGUUUACAUUGGAAAGUUAAAACGAUUGCUAAUUGUUCGGGUUAUUCCCUUAGGUGUUCGAAUCACCUCUAUUCCG